rnacentral:rRNA from 1 species
UAGAUGCGAGAGUAGAGCAUAUCAAUAAGCGGAGGAAAAGAAACUAACAAGGAUUCCCCUAGUAACGGCGAGUGAAGCGGGAAGAGCUCAAAUUUGAAAUCUUAAAGGGUUUCCCUUUACGAAUUGUAGUUUAAAGAAGUGUUUUCUGUUGGAGUUUCGGUAAAAGUUCUUUGGAAUAGGACAUCAUAGAGGGUGAGAAUCCCGUAUUUGACCGUUACUUUCCAGCUGUGUGAUACACUUUCAAAGAGUCGGAUUGUUUGGGAAUGCAGUCCAAAAUGGGUGGUAAAUUUCAUCUAAAGCUAAAUAUUGGCGAGAGACCGAUAGCGAACAAGUACCGUGAGGGAAAGAUGAAAAGAACUUUGAAAAGAGAGUUAAACAGUACGUGAAAUUGUCAAAAGGGAAGCGUUUGACACCAGUGUUGUUUAGUUGAAAAUCAAUUCAAUAAUUUUUGAUUUUGAGUAGUAUUGACUUCAUCAGCUUGCUGCUUUCUUUUCCGAAAUUAUUGAAUGCACUUUUCAGUUAACAAGUCAACAUCAAUUUCUUCUGUUGUAAAAGGGUAAGAGGAAGGUGGCUUACGCUUCGGCGUAAGUGUUUAUAGCCUUUUACCUCUGCAAUCGGAGAGAUUGAGGACAGCAGCGUAGACUCCUUCGGGGGUUAGAUACACUUGUGCUAAGCUAUAGCCUUGUAUAGACAACUUGUUGACUAUGCUCAGUCAUGUAGCUUACUCGCUUGUGCUAUUUUACCUACGCUUAGGAUGUUGACACACGCGCGUGCUCG